rnacentral:rRNA from 1 species
AGAGUUUGAUCCUGGCUCAGAAUGAACGCUGGCGGCGCGCCUAAUACAUGCAAGUCGAGCGAGAAGACGUAGCAAUACGUUUGUAAAGCGGCGAACGGGUGAGGAAUACAUGGGUAACCUACCCUCGAGUGGGGAAUAACUAGCCGAAAGGUUAGCUAAUACCGCGUACGCUCCUUGGACUUCGGUUCAGGGAGGAAAGCGCUACCGUGGGUAGCGCGCUCUUGGAUGGGCUCAUGUCCUAUCAGCUUGUUGGUGAGGUAACGGCUCACCAAGGCUUCGACGGGUAGCUGGUCUGAGAGGACGACCAGCCACACUGGCACUGCGACACGGGCCAGACUCCUACGGGAGGCAGCAGUAAGGAAUAUUGCGCAAUGGGCGAAAGCCUGACGCAGCGACGCCGCGUGGGGGAUGAAGGUCUUCGGAUUGUAAACCCCUUUCGGGAGGGAAGAUGGAAUGGGGUAACCCAUUUGGACGGUACCUCCAGAAGCAGC